rnacentral:rRNA from 1 species
GUAGGGAAUAUUGCACAAUGGGCGAAAGCCUGAUGCAGCAACGCCGCGUGCGCGAAGAAGGCCUUCGGGUUGUAAAGCGCUUUUCGGGGAGAUGAGAAAGGACAGUAUCCCCGGAAUAAGGCUCGGCUAACUACGUGCCAGCAGCCGCGGUAAAACGUAGGAGCCUAGCGUUAUCCGAAUUCACUGGGCGUAAAGCGCGUGCAGGCGGCUUGGUAAGUUGGAUGUGAAAUCUCUCGGCUCAACUGGGAGAGGACGUUCAAUACUGCCAGGCUAGAGGGCGGAAGAGGGAGGUGGAAUUCCCGGUGUAGUGGUGAAAUGCGUAGAUAUCGGGAGGAACACCAGUGGCGAAGGCGGCCUCCUAGGCCGCUCCUGACGCUCAGACGCGAAAGCUAGGGGAGCGAACGGGAUUAGAUACCCCAGUAGUCC